UACGGGGGGGGCAAGCGUUGUUCGGAAUUACUGGGCGUAAAGGGCUCGUAGGUGGCCAACUAAGUCAGACGUGAAAUCCCCAGGCUUAACCUGGGAACUGCGUCUGAUACUGGAUGGCUUGAGUUUGGGAGAGGGAUGCGGAAUUCCAGGUGUAGCGGUGAAAUGCGUAGAUAUCUGGAGGAACACCGGUGGCGAAGGCGGCAUCCUGGACCAACACUGACACUGAGGAGCGAAAGCCAGGGGAGCAAACGGG
rnacentral:rRNA from 1 species